AUUGAACGCUGGCGGCAUGCCUAACACAUGCAAGUCGAGCGGAUGAAGGGAGCUUGCUCCUGGAUUCAGCGGCGGACGGGUGAGUAAUGCCUAGGAAUCUGCCUGGUAGUGGGGGAUAACGUCCGGAAACGGGCGCUAAUACCGCAUACGUCCUGAGGGAGAAAGUGGGGGAUCUUCGGACCUCACGCUAUCAGAUGAGCCUAGGUCGGAUUAGCUAGUUGGUGGGGUAAAGGCCUACCAAGGCGACGAUCCGUAACUGGUCUGAGAGGAUGAUCAGUCACACUGGAACUGAGACACGGUCCAGACUCCUACGGGAGGCAGCAGUGGGGAAUAUUGGACAAUGGGCGAAAGCCUGAUCCAGCCAUGCCGCGUGUGUGAAGAAGGUCUUCGGAUUGUAAAGCACUUUAAGUUGGGAGGAAGGGCAGUAAGUUAAUACCUUGCUGUUUUGACGUUACCAACAGAAUAAGCACCGGCUAACUUCGUG
rnacentral:rRNA from 1 species